AACUGUGGAUAUGGAACGUUAUAACAGUAAUUUGUAUUUAAAUAGUCAAAUGUAACAUCCUUGAAUUUAUUGAUAAUCCAUGGAUAUUCAAUUAUUGCAUGAUUCUCAUUCAAAAUACAAUAAAUCCGUCAUUUUAAAUGAUUCAUCUUAUUUUUGCUUGCAACUUGUACAACUUUCUUAUAUUAGUUACAACUUCUACAAAACCGCAACUGGUACAGAACAUAAUUAUAUAUAGAACGUGUUCACUGAUGUAAUAAGUUACAUAAUAAUUGAGAUAUCCGCCAUCUUUGGGCUUCAAAGUUGAAAUUUUUACAUCAUAAAAUGGACAAAUCUACAUGAAUCUUCAUCAAGUGUUUGUGAGAAAAAAAAGAAGACUGAAUACCUGCAUGGAAUCCUUCCUUAUGCAAAUAAUUAACUCUCAUAUUAGAAUAAAAUCAAAGAGCAAGAAAAGGUGGAUAUAUAGAGAAAAGUACCUUUAUUGUUCCAAUUGAAUGGUCACUGUAUAUUUUGCAGUAUGGAAAUAAGAUUGUACAUAGAACAAUGUUUUGAUAAUAUGUUGUAAAUACAUAAAAUGCAAAAUAUGUAAUAAAACUAUGCAAUACAAGAA
rnacentral:lncRNA from 1 species